AAGAGGCUUGCCCUACUAGCAAAGAAAUGGCAGAGAAUUGCGGCCAUGGGGAGGAAGAGGAUCACCCAGACUGCAACGGCAAAAAGAGCAGCCGAGGAGUGCCGCGCGAUGACCCCAGUAGCAGUGAAGGGACACUGUGCGGUAUACACCGCUGAUGGGAGCCGGUUCGAGGUGCCACUGGUGUUCCUCAGCACGGCAGUCUUCAGCGAGCUCCUGAGGAUGUCUCAGGAGGUGUUUGGAUUCUCAGGCGGCAAUGAUGGCCGGAUCACGCUGCCCUGUGACGCUGUGGUCAUGGAGUACACCAUGCGCUUGCUCCGGAGAGAUGCCUCCGCCGAAGUAGUGAUGGCGUUCCUGAGCUCCAUCGCGAGGCCGUGCUGUUUUGACGGCAGUGUGGCGGCGCCAUGCAUAGGGCUUAGCCAGUAUGUAGCUGUUUGUUAG
rnacentral:rRNA from 1 species